rnacentral:lncRNA from 1 species
AAACAGAGGCGUUUUAUUAAGCCUCUCCAGCUCUGUUCACUUAGCAAAAAGAGGUCUCUGAAAGAAGAUAUUUGCCUAGAGGCAUCCUUUCAUCCCCAAGAGCUGGCCCUGAUUUUGGCCAGUGUUGUCCAGGUGCUGCUGGGCAUCUCCAGCCCCUGGGGAGGACAUGGCAGUGGCGGCCACUACAGCAAACAUCUGUGCAUCUCUGCGCUGAGGCAGGAUUUACCAACACACACUGAAACGGAUUGCUUAAACACCUCUCUUCCCCAAAACUCAGGUCCAGGUCUUACCCGCCGACAUGACGAGCAGAAAAUAAAGCCGCCCACGAAGAGCCGUGGCCCCACUUCCCCUGCCACGGGACGCCGCGCACGGGACCCGCUCCUCGUCCGCCGGCUGCAUCGAGACGGGAGAGGGAAGCUGCCGCUGCUGAGCGGCGCCACGCUUUCCAGCGCGACCCUUGGAGCAGAAGCCUGCAGAGCCACAGCCGGGAGAGAUCGCAAAGGCUCUAGAAGAGAAGUGAGAAAAUCAAAUGAGAGGUUUUCCAACCAGCAGGGACCCCAAACCUCACACCAAAACCUGCAGGCUUGCAUCUGCUGUCAAACUCACGCAUUGAGAAAAGUGGCUGAAAUGCCUCCCGAAAGGUGACAGAAAGUGCAGCUCCAGCGGCAAGCUGUCAAGGGCUUCAGCACACGAAGAUGUAUCUCCGUGUGGAUCGUCACUCUGUUAAUGCUGCAAGCGACUAUAUUAAGGGCUAGUAACUUCUGAAAAAGAGUAUGAGUCAAGUGCACAAGCAAGACUUUUAAGUCAUUCACCACAGAACCAAGCUCCUCCCAAAACUGGACUAAAUGAUCCUGUAACUGAAGCCUUGCACACAGACAGUAGGGUGGAAAGAGAUACAAACUUUUUUAUUUAAAACACAGACAACCUCUGGACAACCUGGCCAGCAGGAAGCUGGUGAAGAACAAUGUUAUACUGUACCACCAACUUUGCACAUUUCGAUUAUCACAGCAGAAGACUUCAUGAAGAACAAAGUAAACCUAUCCCAGAAGGCGAGGGAAGCGGAGGAAGAGGGCAAACACAAUGCUAAAUGUGCAGGUAUUCUGCUAUUCUUAAAUAUUCAGUCCUGCAGGGAACUGGAAGACAGCUGGGAACUCUGCGGAUUGCCUCACCCGAG